rnacentral:rRNA from 1 species
UUGCAUAUCAAUAAGUGGAGGAAAGGAAACCAGCCGGGAUUACCUUAGUACCGGCGUAAUGAAGCGGCAAAAGCUCAAAUUUGAAAUCUGGUACCUUCGGGUGCCCGAGUUGUAAUUUGGAGAGGGCAACAUUUGGGGCCGUUCCUUGUCUAUGUUCCUUGGAACAGGACGUCAUAGAGGGUGAGAAUCCCGUGUGGCGAGGAGUGCGGUUCUUUGUAAAGUGCCUUCGAAGAGUCGAGUUGUUUGGGAAUGCAGCUCUAAGUGGGUGGUAAAUUCCAUCUAAAGCUAAAUAUUGGCGAGAGACCGAUAGCGAACAAGUACAGUGAUGGAAAGAUGAAAAGAACUUUGAAAAGAGAGUGAAAAAGUACGUGAAAUUGUUGAAAGGGAAGGGCAUUUGAUCAGAGCAUGGUGUUUAUGUGCCCUCUGCUCCUUGUGGGUAGUGGGAAUCUCUGCAUUUCACUGGGCCAGGCAUCAGUUUUGGCGGCAGGAUAAAUCCAUAGUGAAUGUAGCUCGCCUCCGUCAGUAUUAUAGCCUGAGU